GGAGAAUAGCUCAGUGGUAGAGCACAUGCUUAGCAUGCAUGAGGUCUUAGGUUCAAUCCCCAAUACCUCCA
rnacentral:tRNA from 1 species